UAAUGGUGUUACUUAAGACGAAGA
rnacentral:siRNA from 1 species